UUGGAAUCGAAAGGGUUUAGGCUUAGUAGAACUAAAACCGAGUACAUGAUGUGCGGUUUCAGUACUACUAGCUGUGAGGAGGAGGAGGUUAGCCUUGAUGGCCAGGUGGUACCUCGGAAGGACACCUUUCGGUAUUUGGGGUCAAUGUUGCAGGAGGAUGGGGGUAUUGAUGAAGAUGUGAACCAUCGAAUCAAAGCCGGAUGGAUGAAGUGGCGCCAAGCUUCUGGCAUUCUCUGUGACAAGAGAGUGCCACAAAAGCUAAAAGGCAAGUUCUACAGGACGGCGGUUCGACCCGCAAUGUUGUAUGGCGCGGAGUGUUGGCCGACUAAAAGGUGA
rnacentral:rRNA from 1 species